ensembl:lncRNA
CAUCACAGACUCCUGAAAGGUAGUGUGAUUACCAUCAUUUCACAGAUGGGGAAACUGAGGACUAGAGGCUCUGUGAGGACCACACAGCCUGGGAGUUCAGCACCAUUGCUCUCUGAGGGGUUGCCUUGUCACCGGGUCAUGUGCCCUCAGUACAUUCUGCAAACAUUACAGGUGAGAAAUGGGAACACAGGGAAUUGGGUCACAGCCUUGAAAUAAUACCCCACUUUGGGUGUCUCUACUCUGCACUGGUGAUUUAGACAGAGCACCUUAGAUACUUCCAACUCUUCUGAAAGGAGACAGUGAUGAUUACUGUUUUACAGAAGAGAAAACUGAGGCUGAAAAAAUGAAGGGGCUAAGUCUUCAUCCUUCCCUCCACUGCUGCUGCUGCUGCUGCUAAAUCGCUUCAGUCGUCCGACUCUGUGUGGCCCCAUAGACGGCAGCCCACCAGGCCCCCCCGUCCCUGGGAUUCUCCAGNNNNNNNNNNNNNNNNNNNNNNNNNNNNNNNNNNNNNNNNNNNNNNNNNNNNNNNNNNNNNNNNNNNNNNNNNNNNNNNNNNNNNNNNNNNNNNNNNNAUGGACUGCACCCCACCAGGCUCCUCCGUCCUUGGUAUUUUCCAGGCAAGAGUACUAUGUCCCAAUAUUUCCUGUCAGCUCCAAGCUUUCAUUUCCAUCAGCAGAGCAAGCACCCACCUUCAGGAGCCCCCACAACAACCACCACUUUCCCCUUUUCUCUCAGAUUCUUGACUUCAAGUGACUACAGGGAGGCAUGGCCUCUGAGGGCCCAGGCAUAGAGACUCUGAAGGCGCAAGGGAAGACACAAGCUCCUGACACCUGAGUCUAGAAUAGGAACUCUUGCUCACAUGGGGAUCCCACCACCCUCUAGGGAACACCUCCCCCUCCUCAUCCUCAGUCUGCAGAGCCAGGAAUGGGCAUGCCUGGUGCUGCUGGGAUUGCAGUGGCCCCUCUGGGCUCUGUCCACACUAACCUUCCCAGACCUGCUCCAUAGGAGCCUAGUGAAGGGGCAACAUCACAGCAAUGGAGGAACUCUCCUGGUGCUGCUAAGUGUGCUGAGUGCUGCCAUUUAGAAGAGGUUCAGCCCAUCCCAUCAAGAGACACUGCAGUAUCUGUCUGGUCCAGGUUGUAAAGGUAAACGUACCUCCCACAGUGGACUUCUCUUUAGUGCCACUGCUAAAGAACAGAACAAUACAAGGAUUUCAGAGGACAGAGCUGGAGAUUUCCCCCACACUUUGACAAGCACAGUGGGGUAUACAGAGAGCAGGGAUGUGUGUCAAAGUGCCUGGGGUUCAAUCUUGGCUCCCUUACAUGCUCACUGAACAAGUCCCUUCUCUGAGCAUCAGUGUCCUCAUCUGUAAAGGGGAAACACUCUUCUUUCUGAACACUGGUUAUAAGGAGUAAACAUCAUGAGAAAGGUUCAGUAUCUGACAAGCUGAUGCUUUCUGGCCCCCUCGCCUCCCUCCUUUCUUAUCCAGGGAAUCAUCUGGGCAGGCAGCCUGAAGAAGAGAAUGAUCCACCUUCCAGGAAGCAGCAUAUCUGAGUGGCGAUGGAACCACUUACUACUUGUGACCGAGGUUGAGCAAGGGACCCACCAUCUAGGAAGUUAAGUAAUAUCUGCAAAUCAGGAAAAAACCAUCUUCCCUGCUGAUGUCUGAAGGUUGAGGAGGCUCAGUUGCUACCAUGACUAAGAGGGAAAUUUAGCAAUAUCCACUCAGAUAAUCGUACACAUAUCCUCAGUCACCUACAAAUUGACACUUGCUUUCUAUCUUUACAAGGGUUAAACUAUGAGCCACUGUAGCUGCUGACCUUCAACACGUCCUGAAAGAAGAUAAAAAAUGAGGCACUCUGUGAUCUGGAAAAACCUGGCAGAUCAGGCCUUCAGAUACUUAGAUAUUUUCUGAGAUGAUUUUAUGAGCCCAAUUCUUGCAUCUCCUCAUAUCUAGAAAAGCACCAAAAUCUUUCAUGGUGACAUCUGUUCCUUGUGACUAGCAUAAACCUUCUGCAAAACUCGUGUGCUUGAUUGCAUGUUCUCACUUCACCAAAAGCGCAUAUAUAUUGCCCCCCCACCAACUUCUUUGGAGCAAUUUCUCAGAGCUAUCUGAAAUGCUGUCUCUGAGGCUACAGUCCUUAUUUUGCUCCAAAUAAAACUAAACCCACAACUCUCGCAUUGUACUUUUUUUUUCAGUCGACAGCUGCAACCUAGCAAAGCCACUUCCAGUGAUCACCUCCCCUUUGAGGAGAGUGACAGAUAGAAAGAUUAUUGACCUCAGCACUGUUUCAGUAGCCCAAGGUUAGGAACAACUUAGUGUCCAUCAACAGGAGACUGUAAGAUGAAUGAUGCUGUCUCCAUAUGCUGAGAGUUAGGUAGUUGUUGGAAAACAGGGCAGCUCUAGGUGCUCAUAUGAAAUGAGGGAUUUGGAAUCAUGCAGCUGAAAGUAAGGAGUGGUUUCCAGUCACAUCAGGCUCAGGGUCUGAAUGCGUGGGGCCUUCAGAAACUUUGGGAAAACCAUGAAAAGAGCUUAUUCCAUGAUUAAUUCCAGGAAUUUUUAUUCUGCAAAUCCUAUGUGCCAGGUUCUUCCAUGAAUUGAGUUCCAGUGCCAGUGCAGGAAGAAGACUGGCUUUGAAAUAGAUUGGGUUCUGGAAGGAUCCCCUCACUGACCAUGUGACUGUGGUCAGGGCCCCUAUACCUCUUGCUCUCAGGCCCCCAUGUGCACGUGGGAGGUUGGGAGGAUGGUGUCUAAAGGUCCUUCCUCUGCUGACAGCCCAGGAUUCAGGAAUUAGAAAGAGGAUCCAGAGUUUUGGUC